rnacentral:rRNA from 1 species
UACGUAGGGUCCGAGCGUUGUCCGGAAUUAUUGGGCGUAAAGGGCUCGUAGGCGGUUCGUCACGUCGGGAGUGAAAACUCGGGGCUUAACCCCGAGCCUGCUUCCGAUACGGGCAGACUAAAGGUAGGCAGGGGAGAGCGGAACUCCUGGUGUAGCGGUGGAAUGCGCAGAUAUCAGGAAGAACACCGGUGGCGAAGGCGGCUCUCUGGGGCCUUACCUGACGCUGAGGAGCGAAAGCGUGGGUAGCGAACAGG